UACGUAGGGGCAAGCGUUGGUCCGGAUUUACUGGGCGUAAAGAGCGUGUAGGCGGCCAAGCAGGUCCGUUGUGAAAACUGGAGGCUUAACCUCCAGACGUCGACGGAACCGCGUGACUAGAGUCCGGAAGAGGAGAGUGGAAUUCCGUGGUGUGAGCGGUGAAAUGCGCAGAUAUCAGGAGGAACACCAAUGGCGAAGGCAGCACCUCUGG
rnacentral:rRNA from 1 species